UACAACGAACUAUAUUAGAUAAUGAUGG
rnacentral:sRNA from 1 species